rnacentral:ncRNA from 1 species
UGCCUUGAAAUAGAAAGGAAAUUAUAGGCAAAUAUCCUAUUCCAUGCUACUACCAAAUUGUGUUGAUACUCUUUCUCCACGUUCCUCAGGCCCACUUGUGGGAUUACAUUGGGUAUGUUAUUGUUGUACUGUUUCUCCACUUUCAUCUCUGGUUGCAAGUAGUAAGUUUCUAUUCAUAUCUAGUAUUUUGAAGGCUUCCCUAGGAGUUAUGUAAAGGGUUCAAAAACCGCACACAAGUACCCAUGUAUGAGAAGGGUUGUCUAAGAAUGCAGCCCAAAUCAGACAAUGAAUUCUGUCGAGGGCUUAAUAUGGGUGAGCGUCUGAUAGCGAACAAGUACCGCGAGGGGAAGAAAGAACUUUGAAAAGAGGGUCAAAGAGUUCCUGAAAUUGUCAUGAGGAAAGCGGAUGAGGGCUAGCAAUGUAGAAUGGUUAUGAGCCGAUCGACUCAGGGCGUGGGACAACUUGGAUUUGGAGGAUCAUUCGGCAACCAUGCAAAAGAGAAUUGCUACACUCUAAGCACAUUAUAUUAUACACCAUGUGUAAGUAUUCGACUAUAUUUCCAUGCUAUCUAUUUGACAUAAAAGAAAGGACUCCUUCCCAAAAAUUUCAUAGCCUCAAGAACAGAGUUCAUAGAAGUACGCGUACCCAUCUCGAAGC